rnacentral:rRNA from 1 species
AGAGUUUGAUCAUGGCUCAGAAUCAACGCUGGCGGCGCGCCUAACACAUGCAAGUCGAACGAGAAAGUGGAGCAAUCCAUGAGUACAGUGGCGUACGGGUGAGUAACACGUGGGUGAUCUACCUCUUAGUGAGGAAUAACCCUGGGAAACCGGGGCUAAUACCGCAUAAGCCUGAGAAGGGAAAGCAGCAAUGCGCUGAGAGAGGAGCCCGCGGCCGAUUAGCUAGCUGGUGAGGUAAAAGCCCACCAAGGCAGAGAUCGGUAGCCGGCCUGAGAGGGCACACGGCCACACUGGCACUGAAACACGGGCCAGACUCCUACGGGAGGCAGCAGUGGGGAAUCUUGCACAAUGGGGGAAACCCUGAUGCAGCGACGCCGCGUGAGCGAUGAAGCCCUUCGGGGUGUAAAGCUCUUUCGUCAGGGAAGAUCAUGACGGUACCUGGAGAAGCAGCUGCGGCUAACUACGUGCCAGCAGCCGCGGUAAUACGUAGGCAGCAAGCGUUGUUCGGAGUUACUGGGCGUAAAGGGUGUGUAGGCGGUUCUUUAAGUUUGGUGUGAAAUCUCCCGGCUCAACCGGGAGGGUGCGCCGAAUACUGAGGGACUAGAGUGUGGGAGAGGAAAGUGGAAUUCCUGGUGUAGCGGUGAAAUGCGUAGAUAUCAGGAGGAACACCGGUGGUGUAGACGGCUUUCUGGACCAUAACUGACGCUGAGACACGAAAGCGUGGGUAGCAAACAGGAUUAGAUACCCCAGUAGUCC